UGCGCAGGCGCAAGAGCUCCUCUGAUUAUAUAAAGGAGAACAGGAGAGCUUUUCGUCCUUUUGCUUCCGCAGCGUGUUCGUGUUAGUUCGUGUGCGUCCUCCUCAUCCGAUGUCGUCCGGCUCCGGGAACCCGGGGUUACUACUCUGUGCGGUUAGCGCGAUCAAAGGGUGCAGAAUGGAUCUUGGAGGAGAGGGUCGUUUCUGGGCCUCCAAGAGAACUCUGUGUAGACAUCUAGAACCUUCCGUGUCUUCACUGCCGGGGUUUAUGACUGGCAGAAAGCAGACUUUGAAUGGACCAGGAUGAAUCCAUAAGUGGGAAAGGAUUGCUAAGUGAUGUACACGUUUCCUAAGUGCCCUUGCCCACGUGGCUGAAUAGACAUAAAGGAUCUGGAGAAUGGAGCAGGUCGGGAGCCCUGUGAGUCACUGGGCACUAAGUAGGUUGAUUGUAGCCUGAUCGUCCCCUUGGCUUGGUUCAGUCUGUCCUGUAACAGAUUUUGCCUGUCUCAGAACAGGGCCACACAAUCACCAGGGAAGUGGAGCUGGGGCUCCUUCCAAGACUUGCAGCUCCAGCCUUUGUCUGCAGGGGGCGCUGUGGGCAUAUUUCUCCUGCCUGUGUAGAGAAGCUUUCACUCUCGGCCUAUGAAAGGGAUGGCAGGUGGGGAAAUUGCAGAUGGGCGUUUUUUCCGGUGGUGAAGCCAGCACUUCGGGGGUCCACUGCGGCAGCAGAGCCAGACAAAGGGCAAGUUCUCCAGGCCUGAAAUGUGAGCUCCUGACAUGCAACUGCCAGACUCAUGCAACAAACCAACCAGAAACAAAUUUGCCCACGAUCCUUUCAAUCUAACGUGAAGAAUCAGUUUUCACUUUACGGCAUUCGUUUCUCUCCCCAUCAUGUUGUGAUAAUGGGGCAGCAUGGUGGGGGCUUCCCAUUUUUAAAGGAAGCCAGAAACCCUUAAAAUACUGGCAACUGAUUUCCAAGUUUAUAAACUUUGAAGAAUGAGCAACGUACAUAUGGGGGCCUCAUGGCCUGGAAGCCAGUUUGAAACCUGCAAUUUGAGCUGUGUGUCCCUUUCAGCACUGCCCUUGUCAUAGUUGGGCCAUAUAAAAACGAUGCCCAGUUCAAUUUGAAUUUCAGGUAAAUAACUUUUAGUGUAUGUCUCAUGCAAUGUUUGAACAUAAUUGAAAUUAUUUGCUGAAAUUGAAAUAUAAGUGGGUGUACUUUUAUUUGGUGAAUCGGGCAACCUCUUUUCUGAGAGCACUUGGCUUGGGAUGGUGGCAUCUGUUCUUUAAGAUAAAGCCUUGAUGGACUUCCUACCUGACGAGUAACUUUUAUAUUCUCUGUUGACUUGGAUUUUACAAGGUUUCCCAACAGUUUCCAAACUGGCUUCAAAGGCUGGGUGGGUGUAAUGGGCAGGUCCCAUGGCCCACUAAUCUGUUGGUCCCUUGAAAAUUCUUCCUAAGGUCCCGAUGUUAACUGCAGGUCUGUUUUCAACUUUUACCUGUUGUGGCAGAAACAUACCAUCUUGGGCUUAUUUAUAUCUGAGGCUUUUUUAAAAAGAAAAGAUCUGGAUCUUCUCACUUGGCAGGCUCAUUUAAAUAAAUGGUCCUUUUCCUAAAAAUAGCCCCAUCGGGCCAGUUUACAGGUGGGAAGGCUUGAGGUGGGGGUGGUCCUAGUGGGUGAGAGCAUGUUUUUGCUCUGAUGUGAAAAUGGUGGUGUGUGCAGUCUGGGACUUGGAUGUCACUUUUCAAGGUUGACAUGUACAUGCUAGGCUGCCUCAAACAUUUCACUGUCCUACUGUUUGAUCAAGUCCAAACAUACCAUUUCUCCCUACUUGAGUCAUCAGAAUAACAGCAACUGUUACUGAAAUUUCCUACCAGACUCCAAGGGAGGUAAUAAUAUUGUACGUAUCUUACAGAUGAGGAAACAGGUUCAGAGGGGAAGUAACUUACAUUGUUAGUAAAUGGCCCUGCCAGUGUCUUCCCUUGCCUGGUAGGGUCUUCUCACCCUAGUCCACCUUGCUCACUCUUGGAGCAUGGACCCACAUAGACAGCCCUCAGCCCUUGGUUGGAACUUCUGCAGGAGAUGGGGUCGGGGGUGGGGGAGGAUGGACAGUGAGACUGAGCUAUGCUGGAUCAUAUGGUAACAGUAACAGUAUGUUUUGUAAGAAACUGCCAAGCUGUCUUCCAAAGAGGCUGUACCAUUUUGCAUCCCACCAGCAAUGAAAGAUUUCCUGUUAACUCCCAUCUCCUUGCAAGGAUUUGGUGUUGUCAGAGUUCCAGAUUUUGGCCAUUCUAAUAAGUGUAGUGGUAUCUCAUUGUUUUAAUUUGAAUUUCCCUGAUGACGUGAUGUGGGGCAUCUCUUCAUAAACUUGCCAUCUGUAUAUCUUCUGUACUUUCUAACUUGCUUCAAUGUUACAUAGAUAAUUUUAAAACAUGGAAUAAAAGAUGAUUCUUAGGCAACAAAAGGAAAAACAUAAAUUGGAAAAUAUCGUGCGUUAAGGAACAUGAUUAAUGAA